AACGAACGCUGGCGGCAUGCCUAACACAUGCAAGUCGAACGAGACCUUCGGGUCUAGUGGCGCACGGGUGCGUAACGCGUGGGAACCUGCCCUUAGGUUCGGAAUAACUCCCCGAAAGGGGUGCUAAUACCGGAUAAUGUCUUCGGACCAAAGAUUUAUCGCCUUUGGAUGGGCCCGCGUUGGAUUAGCUAGUUGGUAGGGUAAAAGCCUACCAAGGCGACGAUCCAUAGCUGGUCUGAGAGGAUGAUCAGCCACACUGGGACUGAGACACGGCCCAGACUCCUACGGGAGGCAGCAGUGGGGAAUAUUGGACAAUGGGCGAAAGCCUGACCCAGCAAUGCCGCGUGAGUGAUGAAGGCCUUAGGGUUGUAAAGCUCUUUUACCCGGGAUGAUAAUGACAGUACCGGGAGAAUAAGCGCCGGCUAACUCCGUG
rnacentral:rRNA from 1 species